rnacentral:rRNA from 1 species
UCGGGAAUUUUGGGCAAUGGGCGAAAGCCUGACCCAGCAACGCCGCGUGAAGGAUGAAGUAUUUCGGUAUGUAAACUUCGAAAGAAUGGGAAGAAUCAAUGACGGUACCAUUUAUAAGGUCCGGCUAACUACGUGCCAGCAGCCGCGGUAAUACGUAGGGACCAAGCGUUGUUCGGAUUUACUGGGCGUAAAGAGCAUGUAGGAGGUCCGGUGCGUCUCUGGUUAAAGCCCACCGCCUAACGGUGGAAGUGCCAGAGAUACGAUCGGACUGGAGGAUGUGAGAGGUGCAUGGAACUCACGGUGUAGGGGUGAAAUCCGUUGAUAUCGUGGGGAACACCAAAGGCGAAGGCAGUGCACUGGUACAUUCCUGACUCUGAGAUGCGAAAGCGUGGGGAGCAAAAAAGGAUUAGAUACCCACGUAGUCCCUGAGCGGGCUGGCAAGGCGCAU